rnacentral:rRNA from 1 species
CGUAGGAGGCAAGCGUUAUCCGGAUUCACUGGGCGUAAAGCGCGUGCAGGUGGCGCGGUAAGUUAGGCGUGAAAUCUCCCGGCUCAACUGGGAGAGGUCGUCUAAUACUACCGUGCUAGAGAGCAGAAGAGGAAGAUGGAAUUCCCGGUGUAGUGGUGAAAUGCGUAGAUAUCGGGAGGAACACCAGUGGCGAAGGCGAUCUUCUGGUCUGUUUCUGACACUCAGACGCGACAGCUAGGGUAGUAAACGGGAUUAGAGACCCCGGUAAUCCUAGCCGUAAACGAUGUGAACUUGGCGUUGGUGGGUUAAACUCCAUCAGUGCCGUAGCAAACGCGAUAAGUUCACCGCCUGGGGACUACGGCCGCAAGGUUA